rnacentral:lncRNA from 1 species
CAGCAUACGUAUAUAAUAAUUAUUUACCAAGGCAUUUGAAAUGUUCAUAAACUUGUAAAAUGAAGUCACAUUUAUCAAGAAAUGGUCUUCAGCUAUCGUUACAAUGCAAUUUCAGAAGUUUAGCCCUUUGUCACUUUUUCCUUAAUUUGAUAGGCAAUCUGAAUAGGAAAAUGUCCUUUCAAAUCUACACAGGAAUUAAGUUCUUUGUUUGAGUCUGGGCAGAAUGGAGUCAUGUUAUAAUAUGCAGCUUAUUUUAGCUUGGAUGUUAACAGAAUAGACCAGGUACUGCAUCAUAAUAAUGUGUACCAGACUGUGUGUAUAAAGUAUCAACACACGUAAUUUUAAUUAACUGACUGAGACCCAAUAAGUUUAGUGACUCAAUGCAUUGUGUUCAACUUCAAGCUGGAGGUUCAAGGGAGACUCUAUAUUCAACAGUUCAAAGACAUGUUAUAACUGCUGAGAAGAAAAUUGUGGCAAAUGAUGGCUUUAUAGCGGUUAGUGAAAAACUGUAGUAUUUUAUACUGAUGGUGGCAAACAUUGGCAGACGAUUUCUCAACCAAUAGUGACAUCGGCAUAUGGCAUAUUUUACACUGACUAUACUUCAGAAGUAAUUGUGAAAAAAAAAAAUAUUAAAAAUAUUAUGACAAACAGUGGAAAACAUUGAUAUUCUAUAAUGACAGGGAAACUGA